rnacentral:rRNA from 1 species
GACGAACGCUGGCGGCGUGCUUAACACAUGCAAGUCGAACGGAAAGGCCCAGCUUGCUGGGUACUCGAGUGGCGAACGGGUGAGUAACACGUGGGUGAUCUGCCCUGCACUCUGGGAUAAGCCUGGGAAACUGGGUCUAAUACCGGAUAUGACCGACUGUCGCAUGGUGGUUGGUGGUAAGCUUUUGCGGUGUGGGAUGGGCCCGCGGCCUAUCAGCUUGUUGGUGGGGUAAUGGCCUACCAAGGCGACGACGGGUAGCCGACCUGAGAGGGUGAUCGGCCACACUGGGACUGAGACACGGCCCAGACUCCUACGGGAGGCAGCAGUGGGGAAUAUUGCACAAUGGGCGCAAGCCUGAUGCAGCGACGCCGCGUGAGGGAUGACGGCCUUCGGGUUGUAAACCUCUUUCACCAGGGACGAAGCGUGAGUGACGGUACCUGGAGAAGAAGCACCGGCCAACUACGUG